GCAUACUUAGCAAUCCUGGAUUUGUAAAUAGGCCGUGUAGGCCGCGGCCUAGGGCGGCAGAUUUCAGAGGACGCUCACUCGAUUAAAUUAAUCAUUCGUUUAUUUAACUUAAGGCGAAUCCGUUCAUGGCUCCGCCGCAAUUUUUUCGCUAGAUGGCAUUGAAGUCACAAAAAGUCACAUUUUUUAUAAUUACGUCCAAAAUACUUUGUUUCUAGAAUUUUUUUUGCUAUAUGCUAGAGGUAUAUACUAUGCUACAAUUUAUCUAUAUAUUUAUUUUGCUUCAUCAUAACGAAUAUCUGAGAAUAGUACCGUUUAAGUUAGCUGAAGCAGAAAGAUCGGUAUUUCGUGUACAUAUACGCACGCACACAUAUCGAAAGUAAUUUUUAUAUAGGACCACUAGAUGGUACUAAUGCAGAAAACAUAUUUCAAGGUCUCGAAAAAUUGAACGUAAUCUCUCGUAUCGCAUCUUUGUUGGUGCAUACUUAUAAUGGAUGACGAAAAAUUGGGAAUAAAUAAAUUAAAAUACUGUAUUUUAUAGCUUGGCAAAAAAGUGUAGAAAUGGAACUAAUCCUUUAUUUUACCUGGCAACAUUAUCACAUUUUUGACGUUUGUGAAGUUUUAUAAAUAGUGUCGGUGUUGUCUUUUAUUAAAAUUUUGCAAUAAGAACAAGAAGAUACUAUUCGCGAUACAAAAUGAAUAAGCCGCGAAUAAUAAGGUUCGCGAGAGAAAUUAUAUAUAAAACUUUUACCGACCAUGUCUAGCUGAACAAGAAGCAAAAACAAUUCUAUCGGAUCUGGAAGCAUAUGUGAGUGCUUUCAAGACAUAACCGAAGAUGAUUGGAAAAUCUCAUGUCAACAUGUAAGAAAAAUUUAAAAUGACUAUUACAAGAGAGAACAUACCCUGUAAGAGGACAUUGAAAGAAUUAUAAUAAAUCUUAAAGAUGACAGUAGUAGUUCUUCAGAAUCACAGGAUGACUGUCCAGCCAGCUCCAGUCAUGAAAAUAUGGACAUUGAUUUUACUGAAAUACAAUAUUUGGAAGAAAGUUUUUGGUUUUAUUUGUUUUUAAGUAAAAUGCCACAAUUCUGAAAUGAUUUCUCAAACUUAAAACAUGACAUACUCUAAUUAAAUUUGAAUACAAUGGCAAAUGAUUUACCAGUUUAUAGUUUUAUAUUUUUAUUAUAGAUAACAAAUCACAUUUGUCUGGCUAAUUUUACAAAAGUAACACUAUGUACAAAUUAUAUUAUAAAUUACGAAUGGAAAGAGUAGUAAAUUUUUCCUUUUCUCAUAGUUUCCAAAUACAUGCGGUGGCCGAAUCUGAAAAUCAUCAGCCAUGGAACUAGGCUGACCAUUGCUCUACGUACAAUAAUUUAUUGCACAGUAGUUCUUCAGUAACCUUGGUUUCAAAAUAUUUCAUCCAUAGUGUGGAAGCUUUGUAUUAGCUAAAAUCUGAAAUAACAAUGGUGCCAAAUUUCAUCACACAUGCUGCAUUAAAAUGUGGAAACACUAUGGAAACCCUUUUGUUUUUCACUGGCAUAUUGAAUUUGGAAACAAUAACCCGAGUAUGUUUUGGCACAUUAAAUGCCCACUGAAGUUCGUGCUUCGAGUCCACAAUCAGUUAUCCAAUUACCAAUUGCAGGUUGUUACUAGAAAUCAUUUCCACAGGUAGUAGAUAGGCAUCGGUAUCCGGUUGGGAUCAAUUGGUUAGUUCUGGUUCCAACGCAGCUUCAGUUGUGCUAGCACUGACGGUGCAUGACGGAGCUUCAUACAGAUAUUUUGGUAUAGCACGUGUAUACGUGUACAUCAAAGGUGUACAUACACCGAGACCACCAUUAUGUUGUCUUGUAUCGAAUCCUAAAGGCUGAACUAAACUCCUUGCAAAUGUGAUAACGAAAAUUAGCGUCGUCGAUAAAUUCAAACAAAACAUGAAACAGAAAAUCAUAAGUAUUGAUGGACUAAACACAAAUUCGACCUCACACCCACCACAUAAGGUUGUUUUUUAAUCGCGAGUAACGUCAUGUUUUUGUAAAAGCCUGGAAUGCAAUGGCCGUCACAAGUCACGGAGGUGGUUGUAAUGUACUGUUCUUAUAAUGAAAAAGCGGCUAUUCAAUUUGGCCGUAUAUAAUACGACCGUCGAGUGAAAUUUUAUUUUAUUUGAUUUAUUGUUGUAAAACAGACUUUGGUAUGAGGUAUUUAUAUAAAAAAAAAUAUCUUCCUGAGUUACGCUACGGCGAUUGGAAUUUAAGUUUUUACAAAUGAAAUAUUUAUUUAUAAUAGAUGAUUACUGUAUAAAAUCGAAACAAACAUAGACUAAUAUAUAAUACUGGAAGAUACAAACACUGAAAUGAAAAAUACAAUUAAAUAUAUCGGUAAUAUGAUUAUAUAAACUUCUGUCAACAGAAUUAAUUGCUGAUAUGUUGUUAACUCCUGUCGUCCAAUUAUUCUUUAUUUAAUUGAAAGCUCCAUAGAUGUUAUUUUUAUUAUGUAUUGUUUAUUUUUUUAUCUUUGAAAUAUUGUCUAUUUACGUAUUUUAUCGCGGUGAUAUAUAUUAUUAUUUACUCCCAAUAUAAGUACAUAUAGCAUUAGGGAGAAAAUAAUAUAAAUCACCACGAUAAAAUCCGUAAAUAGUUUUAUUUGAAAAGUUACUGUAUAAAAUACGAUUUUAAAGCACCUAUCCCGAGGGAGAAGUUAAUAAAUAGAAACAAAAUCAUAACUUUUAUUGAAAAAACUAUAUAUUAUAUUCUUUUAUCGAUCGUCACAUUUACAAAUUACAUUAUAUUAAAUACAGGUAAAAUUCUCAGGCGAUCUUAUUUAUAAUUUUAAAUCUAAAAUUUUGCACAGGCAAAACCGCGUGCAAUAGUAGUGACAUUAACGUAAUGUGAUGAAACUUACUUUUUACCUUAGACCCAACAGGGUAUUGAGCUGGCAACGUCCCAUAGGUUCACUUCACGACCUUGACGACGGUCAAUAGGAAGAGCGGCAACGUCGGUUGUAAUAUGUCAAAUCAUAAAUAAGGCUUCUAUCAAAUACUCAUAACAAUGGAGAUACACGAGUGUACUUUGUUUACCGUUGUUUACUUUUCUUGACGUAAGUGAAGACGCUAUUUCAAGAAAUUUGAAGUGCUAAUUCAUUAAAAUAUGUACGCUUUCAUGACUGUGCCUCAACUUAAAGUUGAGGUUCGUAAAAGAAAUGCGUCAAUUGCCGGAAAAAAAGGCUAAUUUGAUAGAAAGAUUGCAAUCUAAUGACCGGAAUAAAAAUUUUGGUGUUGACUGCGAGAUCCAAGAGGAGAUCGCAUAUCUGAGUCCAGCCACUGAUACUUUCAGAGACAUAAUUGCGGACACUUCUUUACCAAUGAUUACGAGACAAGCAAUACAGGAAUAUUUUGAAAGUUAUGUACCCAUAUGUAAUGAUUAUAAUCUUAGGCAGUUGUUUACAAAGAUGACAGUGUAAAUUUUAUGUAUUUAAAUUGGUAUACCUACACUCAUAUAUCAUGAUAUCUUGAUAACAUUAUAUUAUAUUUUCUUACUACAUUAUUGUUUUUUUGCAGAUAUAAUACUCAGCAUAAAGGACAACUCCUGUACGAAUUUCGACAUCUUGUGACUGCCCGCUAUUCCACAGAUGGCAUUUAUACCCACUGCGAGGACAAUGUAAAGCCAGUAUGAAAAAAUGGUAUACUUUGUGGAUAUAAAAUUAAGUAAAGAUGGAGUAAUUGAAGAAUGCCAUUGCGAUUGUGCUGCAGGCAGUGGUACUCAAGCAUGUUGCAAACAUGUCUCUGUAUUGUUGGAUGACAUGUGAACCCGCAAAUCCACAUGGCAUUGAAUGGGAUCGUUACACCUAUGUAGAUAGGACUCCAAUAGAUAUUUUACUAGAGAAGCUAUUAUUAAAAAAUAUUAUAUCUGAACAAAUUCAGGAAGUGAGAAGAAUACAAGAGCCCAAAGUGAUUCCUCUGAGUGGCAUGAAAGAUCAUGCAGGAUUACUGCCAGUAUGUUUCAUUUAGUGUGCCACAGUAAAGCAUAUAAGUACCAAAAAUAUAUGUAAUCGAUAUGAUUUUUGGCCCCCAAAGCUGUGCAGACUAUGUUAGUUGUGCAUAGUAAAAUCCAAGAAACUAUUUCCAUUGCCAAAUAUGAUAGAGAUUAUGGACUAAAAAUAAAAAAAGUGGAUUCAUUAUAUCAUUUGAAUAUCCUUUUCUGGCUGUUUCUCCAGACGGUAUAUUGGGUAAAGAUACUAUUGUUGAGGUUAAGUGUCCAUAUGCUGCUAGAUAUUAUAAAAUAACCUCUGUGACUG